GGACGGAUGACCGAGCGGCUGAAGGUAGCGGUUUUGAAAACCGCCAGGGUGCAAUUCCCUCGUGGGUUCGAAUCCCACUCCGUCCG
rnacentral:tRNA from 1 species